AGAGUUUGAUCAUGGCUCAGGACGAACGCUGGCGGCGUGCCUAAUACAUGCAAGUCGAGCGGAUCUUACCUUCGGGUAAGGUUAGCGGCGGACGGGUGAGUAACACGUGGGUAACCUGCCCAUAAGACUGGGAUAACAUUCGGAAACGAAUGCUAAUACCGGAUACGCGAAACGGUCGCAUGAUCGGAUCGGGAAAGGCGGAGCAAUCUGCCACUUAUGGAUGGACCCGCGGCGCAUUAGCUAGUUGGUGGGGUAACGGCUCACCAAGGCGACGAUGCGUAGCCGACCUGAGAGGGUGAUCGGCCACACUGGGACUGAGACACGGCCCAGACUCCUACGGGAGGCAGCAGUAGGGAAUCUUCCGCAAUGGACGAAAGUCUGACGGAGCAACGCCGCGUGAGUGAUGAAGGUUUUCGGAUCGUAAAGCUCUGUUGCCAGGGAAGAACGCUUGCGAGAGUAACUGCUCGCAAGGUGACGGUACCUGAGAAGAAAGCCCCGGCUAACUACGUGCCAGCAGCCGCGGUAAUACGUAGGGGGCAAGCGUUGUCCGGAAUUAUUGGGCGUAAAGCGCGCGCAGGCGGCCUUGUAAGUCUGUCGUUUAAACUCGGAGCUCAACUUCGAGUCGCGAUGGAAACUGCAAAGCUUGAGUGCAGAAGAGGAAAGUGGAAUUCCACGUGUAGCGGUGAAAUGCGUAGAGAUGUGGAGGAACACCAGUGGCGAAGGCGACUUUCUGGGCUGUAACUGACGCUGAGGCGCGAAAGCGUGGGGAGCAAACAGGAUUAGAUACCCUAGUAGUCC
rnacentral:rRNA from 1 species